rnacentral:sRNA from 1 species
UAUGAGUCACCUCUGUUGCAGCUGUUGU